ACAGUCACAUAAUCAACACAGGACAGACGGCUCGCGCGGGGCCGUGCACGCGCUGCACAUUGAUAAGAAAACCGCAAGAACACGAGUUAGAUUUAGGCUAAUUUACAUUAAUGUCGCUUUUAUUACAGACAAUGUACCCUCGCGUAGCCUACUACACAUGGACCGUCUGAAAUCGGAAAGGCUUUUUAAUAUAUAACAGUUUUUAUGCUUUAUCAACGGUGGAGUGGAGUUAAUAAGUGAGGAGUUCAUACCAAAACAAAAGGACCGCACGCGCAUCACUUUAUUUUAAAAUUACUCUUAAAUUUGUAUUUUUUAUAUAAAGCAUGUUUGACUUUUAAGACAUUUUAUGUAAUCUGAAUUUCUUUUUUUUUUUAAUUGCCAUGCCUGAACAGGUACUUUAGAUUACCGUUCUUUCAGACAGGCUAAUAUUAAGAGAAUUCUUUAUUGGUCUGAACCAUGCAAAUGAAUGAUUAAAUAAGCGCCAUCUGAGGAAUCCGGGAUUUCGGUGCUUCGCCUGGAAACAAACCUCUUCGCUUUAAUCCGCGAACUGCCCUUCAAAGGACUUCAAAUGGGCCACUUGCUCCUCAGAAGAGAGACUCAUUCUGCCGUGGAGGGCAAUUUGAAUGUUUGCGCACUGAGAGGAAUGUCGAGCCUGCAGAGCCGCUGAGGGACUCAAACUGCUGCUUAAUUAACCCGAUAUUUACUCGCGACUCGGAGCCCAGUGGUGAGGGUCUGCUGCGCGUCUCUCUAAAUGCGCGCUGCCCCGUGGAGCCCCGCAGCGGCACGGCAGCAAGAUGAGAUCGCGGAUCCCGCUUCUUCUCGCGGUACUUGCGGCGACGUGUCUGCGGUUUGGCAAUGCGGAGGCUGAUCCUCUUCCGGCCGCUGUGGUGGAGUUGGUGAAGGGUGGCUCUGUGUCUUCUAUUCAGGACUUGCAGUUUUUGCUGUUCUCUGAAUCUAUAGAGAUUGAGCCAGACAGUCACAAUGACAACGACACCAGCAACCGUCUGCCACGCAGUCUUCUGGACGCUCAGCCUGCUCAGCAAGCCAUCUGUAAGCUCAGGACAGAGGUCAUUGAGGUCACUCGCUCCAUGUUGGACCGUAGCAAUGCAGAUUUCCUGUUGUGGCCUCCGUGCGUGGAGGUGCAGAGGUGCUCGGGCUGCUGUAACACCAAGAGCCUGCAGUGUGUGCCUGUACUUACACACACACGAUACCUACAGGUGAUGAAGAUACAGUACGUGAACAAGCGGCCGCUCUAUGAUAAGGCUGUCGUCUCCGUUCUCGACCACGUAGAGUGCCGCUGUCAGCCGGCUCCUCGGCCCCCUCAACGCCGGAAGUCAUCCGGCCACAGACAAGAAGGACGGGAACGCUCAGGGAAACCUCGACCCAAAGAUGAGCUCCACCGCAGGGAUGAACUCAAACACAACCAGAGGAUAAGCCUGGAGGACCUGCUCAGCCACAGCUGGCUGCCCAAAGAGAGGUUCUCUGAAUCAGGAUUCGGCCGGGACGGCUGGGGUCUGAACGAGACGCAGUAUGGAGGGGGCAAAGGUCAUAACCGUCACCCUGGGGAUGGAAGGAGACAUGGCAAAAUGAAUGACACUGCAACACAGGGAACGACGGCUUCUCUGCCAAAUCAUACCGAGCAGGAAGAAACUGAUUUAUCAUUGCACAACGUUACGCAAUUCGAAUCGCAGAGUAAUGCUAACCGAAGUAUAACAAAUCAGACAUCAGAUUAUAACAUCAGUACAUUGGAAUCGAUCAAUCAUACUUUUAUGCACCAAUCAAAUCUAACGCAAGAAAACAAACAUUUGCAAACAACCAAUCAGACAGACCAAAUCACCUCUAAGGCCACUGGGACAGCCAAUCAGAAUCGAGGAGAUGUGUUUCUGUCUGUAGAGGAUAAUGGUCAGAAUGUGAAAGGUGAGACAGCGGACGUAGAGGUGAAAAGGGAAGAGCUAGAGCAGAGACAAAUGGGCAAAAAGGACAAGGAGGAGAAAAUGGAAGAACUGCUGGAAAUGCACAAAAUCCUGGAUGAAGAAAAACACAAUCAUCACCUCAAAGCUCAACAGAAGAAUACACAGCAGCUCCAUCACAAUCAAGAACACACUUAUACAACCGCACAACGCACAGGUACUGCAUCUCCUCCUGUGCAACAUCUCCCUCCACACAACGCCCCCAGACCAGCUCCUCACCCCCCGAAAAGGAGGAGAAAACAGCGCAAUCGCAUCAGCAAGUCUGCCAUGAGAGCCCUGCUCAUGUAAUACAAACAUACACAGUUUAUUUCUUCAUUGGAAACAAUUUUUGGAUUUGGAGUCAUUUACAUCACUUGCUCACCAAUAAAUCCUCUGCAGUGAAUGGGUGCCGUCAGAAGGACAGAAUGAUAAGUAAUCCACACAAUUACAGUCCAUCAAUUCAUGUCUUGUGGAUCAAAAAGCUAUGUGUUUGAAAUAAACAAGCUUAUCAUUAAGACGUUUUUAACCUCAAACCAUUGCUUUGAGCUAAAAUACAAGUCCUCUAUCCAUAAUAUACUUUUCUCAAGUGAGAAGUCAUCUUAUCUGAAUGAAGAGAAAAAUAUGCAGAGAUCAAGCACCGUUGGUCAAAGAAUUUUGAUGUGAGAGGACAACAGGGAAUAGACUUUUUCACUGGAGGAAGCAUAAAUAUGGAUAAUGGAUUGGCAUUUUGGCUAGAAAUUACAGUUCAAGUGUGUUAAUGAUGAAUUUGUUUCUUUCAAACACUUUCAAACAGUUUGUUUAUUAUUAGAUUUUAACUUCACACGACAUUCAUUGAUGGCCUAGAGCAGUGUGGAUCAUUGUGAUGUUUUUAUCAGCUGUUCGGACUCUGAUUCUGACGGCACCCAUUCACUGCAGAGGAUAUAUUGAUAAUCAGAUGAAUGCAAUCUCUCCCAAAUGAGUUCUUAUUUAUGAAGCAGCGUGUCCUGCGACAUUAAGAGAUAUGGCACUAUUCACUUUUCAAAAACAAACAAACAAAAACACUUCUAAUUUUGUUGUCUGCUCAAAGUCAUGAGGAAAAAGACAAUUCUGACACAGAAGAUGUUCGGAUGGAGGAUUGUUUGAGACUCUCUUCUGGGUUCAUGCGUUGGAUUUGGGAAUAAUGUAAAUCUAGACGUUCAAAACAUCAGAAGCAUGAAACACCAUUUGAACCCUGGACAGAAGAAGUGAGUAAGAGCACAGAACUAGAAAAAGGUGGAAAAGAUUUUUAUGAUCACUCACCUUAAGAGACAAACUGGUAGUUGCUCCUGUGCAGAAUCUCACCUAUUAUUCUGAAUCACCAAAAAAAGCGGUUGCCAUUUGUUCGAGGCUUGAAUUUUUGUGAACCAGUGAACCAAUUUAUAAAUGAACCCUUUUCCCUGAUCCAGUAUUAUGAAAAAGAAAUCUUUUGAAAAGCACACUAUUUCCAGGGAUGUGAUCAAAACAUGUUAUUUUAUGUUAUUUUUCAAACUACAUGUUUUUACAAACACAGAGAACGCUUGAACAGCUUUGUAUUUUAAUGUAUUACCAGUCAAAAACACAAAGUACCAUUGCUAUAAGUUGUUUUAAGUAUAAUUUGUUAUUAUUUAAGUGAUUUUUAACACUGGAAAAAUUCACACAGGAUAAAGCAAGGGAAUGCAUUUCUGUCUCAAUUAAUUACUCAUACCUCUAAAAGUGCAAAGGUGCUACAUUAUAACACACAAAGUAAGAUUAUUCAUUAAUAUUAUUUAUUCUUUUGUAAGUCCAUUCUGUUCACAGCAGGGCCGGUGUUUUAUCAUAAUCUUACAAAACAUUUUCCAGAAGACCAAAAUGCAGAAUUUUUUGUAUGUCAUGUACAGAUGGUCUGUUUUGGGUCUUUACUAAAAAUUCCAGAUUGUGCAGAAUUUGCACUCUUUUUUUAUACAUAGAAUAAAAUUUUAACACUAACUAUAAAGGUGUAAUUCAUCAUC